CAGUCGACGAUGAAGCCGGAGCUUGCUCUGGUGGAUUAGUGGCGAACGGGUGAGUAACACGUGAGUAACCUGCCCCUGACUCUGGGAUAAGCGCUGGAAACGGCGUCUAAUACCGGAUAUGCGCUGUAACCGCAUGGUUUGCAGCGGGAAAGAUUUAUCGGUUGGGGAUGGACUCGCGGCCUAUCAGCUUGUUGGUGAGGUAAUGGCUCACCAAGGCGUCGACGGGUAGCCGGCCUGAGAGGGUGACCGGCCACACUGGGACUGAGACACGGCCCAGACUCCUACGGGAGGCAGCAGUGGGGAAUAUUGCACAAUGGGCGCAAGCCUGAUGCAGCAACGCCGCGUGAGGGAUGACGGCCUUCGGGUUGUAAACCUCUUUUAGCAGGGAAGAAGCCUUCGGGUGACGGUACCUGCAGAAAAAGCGCCGGCUAACUACGUGCCAGCAGCCGCGGUAAUACGUAGGGCGCAAGCGUUAUCCGGAAUUAUUGGGCGUAAAGAGCUCGUAGGCGGUUUGUCACGUCUGCUGUGAAAACUGGAGGCUCAACCUCCAGCCUGCAGUGGGUACGGGCAGACUAGAGUGCGGUAGGGGAGAUUGGAAUUCCUGGUGUAGCGGUGGAAUGCGCAGAUAUCAGGAGGAACACCGAUGGCGAAGGCAGAUCUCUGGGCCGUUACUGACGCUGAGGAGCGAAAGGGUGGGGAGCAAACAGGCUUAGAUACCCUGGUAGUCCACCCCGUAAACGUUGGGAACUAGUUGUGGGGGCUUUUCUACGGUCUCCGUGACGCAGCUAACGCAUUAAGUUCCCCGCCUGGGGAGUACGGCCGCAAGGCUAAAACUCAAAGGAAUUGACGGGGACCCGCACAAGCGGCGGAG
rnacentral:rRNA from 1 species